GGAGGUUAUAAAAUGUACUCAAGUCCUUUGUUGGUACCAAACAAGUGUGGAUCCUCAUGUUCUCUUGAUGCAACCAUCAUGUACUUAAAACCUAUAAAUCUUUAGAUAGUAAACUGCUUUGAAAACAAUGUGUAUGCAGAUGGUAUUCUUACAGCUGCCUUUUUCUUAUUGUAGGCUGGUGCCACUCCACCCUUCCUAUCCUUUGCUUUUCUAUUCCAAAUCCACAC
rnacentral:lncRNA from 1 species